UAUGGCCAGAACCAUAUCUACCUGAAGUUCUCACCUGGUAUCCCACUGAAGCUAAGCAGGGGUGAGCCUGGCCACUACCUGGAUGGGAGACCUCCUGGGGAAAACUAAGGUUGCUGCUAGAA
rnacentral:rRNA from 1 species